rnacentral:rRNA from 1 species
UACGGGGGGGCAAGCGUUGUUCGGAAUUACUGGGCGUAAAGGGCUUGUAGGUGGCCAACUAAGUCAGACGUGAAAUCCCACGGCUUAACCGAGGAACUGCGUCUGAUACUGGAUGGCUUGAGUUUGGGAGAGGGAUGCGGAAUUCCAGGUGUAGCGGUGAAAUGCGUAGAUAUCUGGAGGAACACCGGUGGCGAAGGCGGCAUCCUGGACCAACACUGACGCUGAGUGAGCGAAAGCCAGGGGAGCAAACGGG